GACGAACGCUGGCGGCGUGCCUAAUACAUGCAAGUAGAACGCUGAAGAGAGGAGCUUGCUCUUCUUGGAUGAGUUGCGAACGGGUGAGUAACGCGUAGGUAACCUGCCUGGUAGCGGGGGAUAACUAUUGGAAACGAUAGCUAAUACCGCAUAAAAUUGAUUAUUGCAUGAUAAUUAAUUGAAAGAUGCAACUGCAUCACUACCAGAUGGACCUGCGUUGUAUUAGCUAGUUGGUGAGGUAACGGCUCACCAAGGCGACGAUACAUAGCCGACCUGAGAGGGUGAUCGGCCACACUGGGACUGAGACACGGCCCAGACUCCUACGGGAGGCAGCAGUAGGGAAUCUUCGGCAAUGGGGGGAACCCUGACCGAGCAACGCCGCGUGAGUGAAGAAGGUUUUCGGACCGUAAAGCUCUGUUGUAAGAGAAGAACGGGUGUGAGAGUGGAAAGUUCACACUGUGACGGUAUCUUACCAGAAAGGGACGGCUAACUACGUG
rnacentral:rRNA from 1 species